rnacentral:ncRNA from 1 species
CCUUUUGGCAAGUAGUAACAACGAACUGCGAGAAGUCAGCAGAGGUCGUAGUACCUAAAGCACGUGUGCUUAUGGGGAAGG